AUUGAACGCUGGCGGCAUGCCUUACACAUGCAAGUCGAACGGCAGCACGGGAGCAAUCCUGGUGGCGAGUGGCGAACGGGUGAGUAAUAUAUCGGAACGUGCCCAGUGAUGGGGGAGUAGCCCGGCGAAAGACCGGAUUAAUACCGCAUACGACCUACGGGUGGAAAGACAGGGGAUCGCAAGACCUUGCGUCAUUGGAGCGGCCGAUAUCAGGUUAGCUUGUUGGNGGGGUAAAAGACCUACCAAGGCGACGAUCUGUAGCUGGUCUGAGAGGACGACCAGCCACACUGGGACUGAGACACGGCCCAGACUCCUACGGGAGGCAGCAGUGGGGAAUUUUGGACAAUGGGCGCAAGCCUGAUCCAGCCAUGCCGC
rnacentral:rRNA from 1 species